AGAGUUUGAUCAUGGCUCAGAUUGAACGCUGGCGGCAUGCCUAACACAUGCAAGUCGAACGGAAACGAUGCUAGCUUGCUAGCAGGCGUCGAGUGGCGGACGGGUGAGUAAUGUAUAGGAACUUGCCCAGUAGUGGGGGACAACUUAUGGAAACGUAAGCUAAUACCGCAUAAUCUCUACGGAGGAAAGCAGGGGCUCUUUGGACCUUGUGCUACUGGAUAGGCCUAUAUUGGAUUAGCUAGUUGGUGAGGUAAAGGCUCACCAAGGCGACGAUCCAUAGCUGGUUUGAGAGAAUGAUCAGCCACACUGGGACUGAGACACGGCCCAGACUCCUACGGGAGGCAGCAGUGGGGAAUAUUGCACAAUGGAGGAAACUCUGAUGCAGCAAUGCCGCGUGUGUGAAGAAGGCCUUAGGGUUGUAAAGCACUUUCAAUAGGGAGGAAAAGUAAGUAGUUAAUACCUGCUUACCGUGACGUUACCUAUAGAAGAAGGACCGGCUAACUCCGUGCCAGCAGCCGCGGUAAUACGGAGGGUCCGAGCGUUAAUCGGAAUUACUGGGCGUAAAGCGCGCGUAGGCGGAUAUAUAAGUCAAAUGUGAAAGCCCUGGGCUCAACCUAGGAACUGCAUUUGAAACUGUAUAUCUAGAGUAUGGUAGAGGUGAGUGGAAUUUCAGGUGUAGCGGUGAAAUGCGUAGAGAUCUGAAGGAACAUCAGUGGCGAAGGCGACUCACUGGGCCAUUACUGACGCUGAGGUGCG
rnacentral:rRNA from 1 species